rnacentral:rRNA from 1 species
UACAGAGGGGGCAAGCGUUAUUCGGAAUUAUUGGGCGUAAAGGGCGCGUAGGCGGCCUGUUAAGUCGAACGUGAAAUCCCCGGGCUCAACCCGGGAACUGCGUCCGAUACUGGCAGGCUUGAAUCCGGGAGAGGGAUGCGGAAUUCCAGGUGUAGCGGUGAAAUGCGUAGAUAUCUGGAGGAACACCGGUGGCGAAGGCGGCAUCCUGGACCGGCAUUGACGCUGAGGAGCGAAAGCAUGGGGAGCAAACAGG